CAUGCAUUUGACAUGAUCAUUUAAGCGUACAAUCAUGCAUACUAACAAGAAUGUGAUUGUGUGAUGUGAAAGCAUAGGGAUCAUGUGGAAAUGGACUCAAGCAAGAAAGGCAAACGGGUCAAAAGAAGGCAAGGGAACAGACGCAAAAAGGUUGUACGAAUCACAGAUUAUCAUCAAGAGGAGUAGCAAUCAAGUCAAGAGCAAGGAUUGUACGGAAAGUGCGGUCACAUAGUUAAGUUAUGUAUUGCCUUGAAGUCUUAAAAUUGAGUACGAAUGUUGCGAUUACUUUUAUGAAACGUUUGACAAUUUGUAACUUGAACCGUCAUGUAAGUAAUGUCGUUACCAAAGAAAUAAAUUUUAAGGUUCGCAA